rnacentral:rRNA from 1 species
CUUUCUAGUAGUCCCAUGUUGUGCCUGAUCUUGUCAGAUCUCGUAAACUACCAAGCAAGGUUGGGCCUGGUUUGUACUUGGACUGGAAAUCAUGGGGAAUACCAGGUGCCACACUGG